rnacentral:tRNA from 1 species
GAGUUCGUAGCUCAGCGGUAGAGCGUUUGGUUCACAUCUGAAAGGUCGAUGGUUCAAAUCCAUCCAGACUCA